UUUAGAAAUGGCGCUGUGAAGGGCGAACUCACCUGGACUCUGACUGAAAAUUUUAAAGGCUUCAGUUCACGGUUGUAUCCCCACCACUCCGUCCCGACCAUUUUCAGACCCGCUGGCCCAGAAACUUUGCAAUUAAAAGUUCUGGAGGCUGAGAAAUCCAAGAUCAAAGAGUCAGCUGAUUUGAGAAGAGGCCAUGUGAAGACACAGUGAGAAGGUGAUCAUCUACAGGCCAGAAAGAGAGGCCUCACCAGAAACAAACCUGCUCACUCCUUGAUCUGGGACUUUCAGCCUCCAGGCCAAUACAAAGACACUGGAAAUAUCCUGUGACAGUCACGAAGAAACUUCAAAGAGGAACAAAGAGAACGAAUUGUGAGAACACUCUCCAGACAACAAUAAAUUGUGACAGAUGGGAGCCUGAGAGGCAUGGGAGAGCCCUGAGUUCCUGGGCUGGAAGUGGGCAUGAGGCUGUGGUAAGUGGAGCCAAGAGGAUAAUUACCAGGCUAUGCAGAUCAUCUGAGAGGUUUUUGAAAUUGUCGCAAAUCUCAAAAAAAUUUCCAAUGUAUUUAUUGAAAAAAAUCCCCAUACAAGUGGACCUGUGCAGUUCAAAUCUGUGUUGUUCAAGGACAACUGUAUAGUCCAAAUACUGUUGUUCAGAGUUACCUGGGUUAGUUUUUGUCUUUCCUAACUCCUUCAGUGUGA